UUAACGAGUUCAAUUGUUCAUCUUAGUAGAUAGGCCGAUUCUUAUUACACACCUAUAAACCAGACUCAUCAAAUAAUAGAUCCAACUACAGAUACCUAUGGCGGACAUAUCUAUUGUCUC
rnacentral:sRNA from 1 species